GCGGUUUUUUUUACCUACAGCAAGAUGUCUGCCAGUGAAUUUGAAAAAAACGAAAACCGCAGAUGGAAGAGGGCAAACAGUAUUAUAUAUUGGAAGGUGCUCGGAGUCAAGGAUCAGCCCGAACCCCUCGGGGUGGAGGUCGAUCCUUCCUGAGUCGGUCGACGAUACGUUGUUUCUGUCUACCAAAUGCACUCACAUUUGAUCGGCUCAAGGUUAUAGUAAACGACACUUACCCAUAUGGAACCGAACCCAAGUCAACUCGUUUGGAAACAAGCUUCUUAUCCACACAGUCACACUUGUGUCUGCUGUUGAAUUAUUCUUCACAAUGGCUUACAUAUUGUCGAUGAUUACAUAUUGAUAGUACGUAUGAAAUAUGUGUUACACAGUAGUAUAUUAUUGGUUGUUCAGUCAGUUCUUGGAGAGAGAGAGAGAGAGAGAGAGAGAGAGAGAGAGAGAGAGGUGGAAAAGAAAGAAAUAAAGAAAGAAACAAAGAAAGACGUCUCGCUGGAAAUGUAUUGUCUGUAAUUAAAUAAAAUACACCAUAUUAUUGCUA